rnacentral:rRNA from 1 species
CAGUCGCCGCGGUAAUACGUAGGGUGCGAGCGUUAAUCGGAAUUACUGGGCGUAAAGCGUGCGCAGGCGGUUCGUUAAGACAGAUGUGAAAUCCCCGGGCUUAACCUGGGAACUGCAUUUGUGACUGGCGAGCUAGAGUAUGGCAGAGGGGGGUAGAAUUCCACGUGUAGCAGUGAAAUGCGUGGAGAUGUGGAGGAAUACCGAUGGCGAAGGCAGCCCCCUGGGCCAAUACUGACGCUCAUGCACGAAAGCGUGGGGAGCAAACAGGAUUAGAUACCCCAGUAGUCCCUGUCUCUUAUAC